ACCGAAAGUUUGCGAUGUUUUGCAUAUAAUCGAGAAGAUUGCCACUGUCCAGUAGAUCCUCUCAAGCGAUACGUCAAGCCGUCGUGUAAAGAACAUGUAAGAAGAUUAGUGGUUAUAAAUUACAUUGGAGUGAACGAAAGGUUCCAGUGACGUUAGAGGUCUCAGAUUAUCCUAGGGGAUUUGUUGUUGUCUGUGGUGGUUUUAGCACAGUGCAUCUUUUCACAUCAGAGAGGAGACAGGAAUUGCUGAAAAAGUUGAUGGAAUCUUCUUUAAAUAAUGUUGGUGUUACGAUAAAUGAUGACGACCAUAUCACAUCAAUGUCAGAAUUCAGCGUCUAUAAAGAAACUCCUCGGAGUAAAAUAUUUUCAAUAAUUCGCUAUCGAAACCAUCCUCAGCUGUUCGGGCUGGAAUACACAAGCGGUCGGCUGAGAAAUUACUCGUCUCCUGACAGGGAAACAUUAUUGGCUGGUUUGCUAGACGGUGUUAGAGCCAGUUGAAACAGAGAUGUUUGCGUAAAAACGACCCCAACGAAGAGAAGUACUGUACGCUUAUUCAUAGAUGAUUGAGCGAAAAUUAUGGUCAAAAUUUUCCUGAUGAAAAUCUCGUACUGCUAUGAUUACCCUAAAUACGAUCCCUCAUUUCAUACUCCUGCUGACGUAUGUGAUCUCAUAUAACACACCAACAAUUACACUUCUCGUCAGGUUAUCGUUGGGGUCCAUUGUAUAAUGUUGUUGACGAAGAAGUAG